GUUGGUGUUGAUUACAGUGAGGUUCCACCUGUUCCCAUCCCGAACACAGUAGUUAAGCUCAUUUGUGCCUACGAUACUUGGCGGGUGACUGCCUGGGAAAAUAGGUAACGCCAACA
rnacentral:rRNA from 1 species